rnacentral:rRNA from 1 species
AGUGAACGCUGGCGGUAGGCCUAACACAUGCAAGUCGAACGGCAGCACAGUAAGAGCUUGCUCUUACGGGUGGCGAGUGGCGGACGGGUGAGGUAUAUAACCGAAUCUACUCUUUCGUGGGGCAUAACGUAGGGAAACCUACGCUAAUACCGCAUACGAUCUACGGUUGAAAGCAGGGGAUCUUUGGAGCUUGCGGGAUUGAAUGAGCCGCUGUCGGACUAGUUAGUUGGCCGGGUAAAGGCCCACCAAGGCGACGAUCCGUAGCCGGUCGGAGAGGACGGUCGGCCGCACGGGAGCUGAGACGCGGUCCAGACUACUGAGGGAGGCAGCAGUGGGGAAUAUGAGACAGUGGGCGCAAACCUGAUCCAGCGGGACCGAGUGGGUGGAGGAAACCUUCGGGUUGUGAAGCCCUUUUGUUGGGAGAGAAAAGCAGCAGGUUAAUACCACGCUGUACUGACGGUAACGAAUGAAUAAGCACCGGCUAACUUCGUG